GGAACAGUACGUCAUCGCCUUAGUCCUUAGUAAGGGUAGACAUGCAAAAUGUCUGCCCUUUGGGUCCUGCCAUAGAGUUAUAUUACAAGUGUCCUUCCAAGAAGGCUCAAGGUCAUUGGCCACAGAUAAAAUGACGUCAAAUCACAUUAUAUGUAUAGUAGCUUUGACUGGACUGAUCAUGUCAACAUCUUACUUUCAAAGUCUUAGCUAGCAGUCAUCAUCAUGAAUCAAGUCAACAAUCUACUGGCAAAUCCCUUUUAAUCCUUGUCAAGUUGGAAAUCGCAAAUUCAACAAUGAGUCGUUUGGAAAGAAUCCUCUAAGCAUUGCAAAGCAACUACUAACAUUAGCCUGCUAUUCAAUGGAGUGGCGGUGUUUUUUUCCAGAGUUCCUACCAUAAAUCCAGAGAAUGCCGGACUUUGAUGACAAAGUUUGAUGACAAAAUUUGCCCACAAUGGACCGCCGCGCCCCCUUCACAAGGACCUGAGCCCUAGGACUAUGCCUCAGGACUACCUGACAUGAUGACUCCUUGCUGUCCCCAGUCCACCUGGCUGUGCUGCUGCUCCAGUUUCAACUGUUCUGCCUUAUUAUUAUUGGACCAUGCUGGUCAUUUAUGAACAUUUGAACAUCUUGGCCAUGUUCUGUUAUAAUCUCCACCCGGCACAGCCAGAAGAGGACUGGCCACCCCACAUAGCCUGGUUCCUCUCUAGGUUUCUUCCUAGGUUUUGGCCUUUCUAGGGAGUUUUUCCUAGCCACCGUGCUUCUACACCUGCAUUGCUUGCUGUUUGGGGUUUUAGGCUGGGUUUCUGUACAGCACUUUGAGAUAUCAGCUGAUGUACGAAGGGCUAUAUAAAUACAUUUGAUUUGAUUUUGAGUUUAGUUUUAGAGUUACGGUUUUGAGGUUAGGUUAAGGGUUAGGUAAAAUAGGAUUUUGAAUCAGAAUCAAUUGUUUGAUCCCCACAAGGAUUGUAAAACACACGUGUGUGCUGUGUACAAUGCCAAUUACCUCAGCCUCAUGGUAAAUACUCAGAGGAACCUUUAAAAGGCAUUCAGCCUGAGAGGAGCCAUAUGAUAUGACAGAGGCCUGGAGUAAUUCCCCCUGGCCCCACACACUCCAGCACGCACCAUCACAAGCACACAAGCACGCAAACACACACACACACACACACCACACAUUACUUAACCAUGAAUAGUCUUGUAGGCGGAGAGUAAAAGGUGCUGGAGAACUGCUUGCCUGGCUGACCACAGUGCAUACGUGUGUGUGAAAGUAUUUUCUCUCUAGGACAAUAAGCGGUCUGCCAUCAACAUGAUCUCUUCCGAUUUGACCAAUAUGACUUCAGAUUCUGUUUUUCCACGCUUCACCAAACGUCAAAUUUUGAAGUUGCUCCAAACGUCAAAUAUCUAAGUGUCUUUAACACCCUGGGUUGACUCCUGCUCAGCAUCAUUCUGUUUCUUCAAACGUCAAAUUUCGAAAGUUGUAACUUUUUUUGUUAACAGUUUAAGUUUUUGAUAGGGUUAAAACAUGACGUUUAGCCAUUUAUUCCACACGGUUAAGGUAAGGGUUAAGGUAUAGGAUAGGGUUCAACACAAAAAGCUUAAAAAACAAUUGUCUACCACUGGAAUUGAACACGCAACCUUCAGAUCCGGAGUCAUUGAAUGCAUAACAUUUGAACGCAUAACAUUUGGAUUCCGGAGUCAUGGGAUUAAAUCCAUCCACAAUGCCCUCGCAAAACCCAAAGACUACUUGAUGGUGAUUAGUGCUCACUGUUGCCCCUAGUGGCAACAGUCAAUCUUGAGCCAUCUGCCUGCUGCCAUUGCGAUGCUUUCUGAAAGGAACACUUUAUGAUGGGCAUGUUUACCUUUCUGUCUUUUUGUUUAAUUUUGUUUGAUCCAAGGCUUGUCGGCACAAGAGUUAAUUCAUACAGUCAGUGGAACCAUUGUGAAAAGUAAGCGUUUGUGUGGUAAGAGGAAGUAGGAGUGGACACAUUUUUAUAAUCAUAGUAACUCACUACAGUUGGCAACAAGCAGCUUAGCUCACUCACAAAUCUACUUCCACAGUGCUGUUUUAACUAGGACAUUGUGUUCAACUGAGGAUUUGGAGUUUAUGAUCUGAUCGGGGUCAUGUUAAAUGUAUGAUCUGAUCGGGGUCAUGUUUAAUGUAUGAUCUGAUCGGGGUCAUGUUAAAUGUAUGAUCUGAUCGGGGUCAUGUUAAAUGUAUGAUCUGAUCGGGGUCAUGUUAAAUGUAUGAUCUGAUCGGGGUCAUGUUAAAUUAAAUGUAUGAUCUGAUCGGGGUCAUGUUAAAUGCAUGAUCUGAUCGGGGUCAUGUUAAAUGCAUGAUCUGAUCGGGGUCAUGUUAAAUGCAUGAUCUGAUCGGGG
ensembl:lncRNA